ensembl:lncRNA
AAACUGCAGUCUGCGUUUCUUGACGGUUAAAUAAAAACAGAAGCACCCGUGGUUACAUCAUUCUUGCUGUCUAAAGAGAGGAAACGAGAUCAGCUCCUGAGGAAAUGUAAUCUUUUCCCUCCUGUUCAACUCUGAAUGAAAAGUAUCACCACCUAAAGCCAAGAUAGAGCAACAGCAGACCAUGUCUUCUGAAUGGAUGCAGGUGUAUAAGCGAGACUUGGCCAAGCAGGUGGACCUGCCACAGGGGCCGCUGGAAAUAAUCAGUAUUAUCAAACGGAAAGCUUUCGAAGGAGCUUUCUAAGGACAGUGGUGUGCGUGGUGACAUCCGGGGAAGCUGGCAGCAGAGCGACCUACAAGCCAGCCCCAGCCACUGUACUCUGUGGGCUGAGGCUUUCACGACUGACUUGGCCAACUCAUAUUCCGAAAAUGCUAAGGCUCAGAGGUCUGCUCAGAAGUUUGCUUGUAAAAUAUGAAACUUGUCUCUGCCCUCUAUCACGGCUCCCAUUCCUCCCCUCCAGCAACAUUAGCUUUUAGACAUAUGUACUAAAUGCAUUUUUCUUUAAAGAUAUGGCAGAGAUAUUUCUUUUGGAGUGUGUCCAAACAAUCUGGGAAAUGCACACUUGACAUAGCCACGGGGAAGUGUAUUUUUUUAAAAACUCAAAGGAACAAAAGAAAGAAAAAAAGACAAGUCAGUGCCGUAACUUUGGAUUACGUUCCUGCAGAAAGACAGUACUGCAGGCCAGUCUUCAACCAUCCUGAAGCUUGACUUCCUGUCCUGUUCCAGCUGUGACCUGUUGAAAGUAGACUUGACAACUGUGGCCUUUGCUGUGACUCUGGCCCUUUGGAUUUUAGGAAAUAGGAUGGGGGUGAAGUGAAGAGGGAAUGGAAAAGCCUAAAGAGUGACAGAGAAGGGGGCUUCUAAGGGACUCUUUUCUAUUUCUAUACUUUACUGUUCAAAAUAGCCAAGUGGGCUAUGUGCCUUUGCUAUGGAUGUUUAAUCCAACCUUGAUCACAGGGAGGUAGUUGAGCAACGUGUGGACUGGGCUGGGAUAGGACAAAGGGUUUGACUUGCCUUUGAUCACAGUCCAUAAAGCUGAAGAUUGACUACAAGAAGCUAUGUCCCAGCAGAACUGCUAAGAACAAAGUCAGAAGUUGAUUGCAAAAGUAGUGAUUCAUUUUCACUUAAAUAUCAAUCAAGAAAGAAACCAAACCUAGUAUAAUGCUGCAUGCCUGUAAUCCUAGCACUUAGAGAAUGGAAGCAGGAAGGUGAAAGAUCUUCAGCUACAUAGUGAGUUUAAGGCCAGCCUGGGUUAUAUGAGACUAUCAGAAAAACAAAACAAAUCAGGUACCAAAACAGCCUCUUGUCCCAGUCUCUUCCAGAAAUAUUAUCUAGUGGCUCCACUGAUCCAGCAGUUAUGUUUUAUAGAUACAAUCCCAGCCUGAUUUCAUGGCUGAUAGGACUAGAGGCGUGAUCUGAUUCUAGGAAAGCCAGUGCAUAGAUUGCCUGUUCUUAUGGUCUAUGGCUGGGGGGCAGGUGAUGGUUCUGGUAUUAUCAUAUCCACUGUGCCUUUUACACACAUAAUUAGUACAUAUUCUACUAAAUAAACUUUUUUAUAUCUUUAUUCUGUAUAGGAAA